AGAGUUUGAUCAUGGCUCAGGAUGAACGCUAGCUACAGGCUUAACACAUGCAAGUCGAGGGGAAACGAUAUUGGAAGCUUGCUUCCGAUAGGCGUCGACCGGCGCACGGGUGAGUAACGCGUAUCCAACCUGCCCACCACUUGGGGAUAACCUUGCGAAAGUAAGACUAAUACCCAAUGAUAUCUCUAGAAGACAUCUGAAAGAGAUUAAAGAUUUAUCGGUGAUGGAUGGGGAUGCGUCUGAUUAGCUUGUUGGCGGGGUAACGGCCCACCAAGGCGACGAUCGAGUAGGGGUUCUGAGAGGAAGGUCCCCCANAUUGGAACUGAGACACGGUCCAAACGUCCGUACGGGAGGCA
rnacentral:rRNA from 1 species